CAGCAGCCACGGUAAUACGUAGGUCCCGAGCGUUGUCCGGAUUUAUUGGGCGUAAGCGAGCGCAGGCGGUUAGAUAAGUCUGAAGUUAAGGGCUGUGGCUUAACCAUGGUACGCUUUGGAAACUGUUUAACUUGAGUGCAAGAGGGGAGAGUGGAAUUCCAUGUGUAGCGGUGAAAUGCGUAGAUAUAUGGAGGAACACCGGUGGCGAAAGCGGCUCUCUGGCUUGUAACUGACGCUGAGGCUCGAAAGCGUGGGGAGCAAACAGGAUUAGAUACCCCAGUAGUCCCUGUCUCUUAUACAC
rnacentral:rRNA from 1 species